rnacentral:lncRNA from 1 species
AGGGGAGAGAGGACUCCCACGCAGAAUACAUGCCUGCUCCUUCUGGUCAUCUGGGAAUCCCUGGUCAGUGCAGAGGUCUUGAAGUUUCUGUGUCUAAAAUCGAGAGCUCAUUACACUGAUCCACCUGCUUACCAACACACUGGAUUAGCUGUAAUGUUGACUGGGACCCAGGGACUUCAGGCAGACAUUCUUCUGAGCUGACUGAGGUGCAAGGGUGGCGUGCAGAUGAGUCUGGAACCUCCUGCUGCCCCAGGCUCUCUCCGGGGACCCUUUAGUCCUCAGACAUCAUCUCAACAUUACAUCUUAGAAGACUGACUGACAAGAUCUCAUCAGAAUUUGGCUCUGAGGCUCAGACCUGGCUCGGCUAUGACCUCGAAUAAGAACCUCAUGAGUUCAACAGUUCCCGGGAUCCUUCCUCAGUGCCAGCUGUCCAGAGGAAAGUGCAUCCACAGCUUCUUAGAGGAGAUGACCACUGAAAGGAUCAUUCUUAAACUGACGGGCUACAGAGCCAGACCUGACUGUCCAGAAGACAUGAACAUAAGGAAAUGUUCUGAGAGUUCUCAUUCAAGUUGUAUCUUAUUCUAAGUGACCCCAUUUGGCUGUCUUCUUGGGAGACAUACUGGAGUGCUUUGCCAUUUCCUUCUCCGGCUCAUUUUACAGAUGAGGAAACUGAGGUAAAGAAGGUUAAGUGACUUUUCCAGGGGCAAACAGUAAUCAGUGUCUGAGACCAUAUUUGAAUUUAGGAAGAUGAGUCUUCCUGAGUCCAGGCCUUCUUUUUCUAGAAGAAUGGUCAGGUGACAGGAAGGAGAUAGAAUUCAUUAUUUUUUUAAAUUUUAAUUCUUAUACAACUACUUGAUCACAUGGUUCAAUGGGGAUAUGACUGGGGAUGUAGACUCUAAAGGAUCACCCCAGUGCAAAUAUUAAUAAUAUAGAAAUAGAUCUUGAUCAAUGACAUACGUAAAAAAUAGUGGAAUUGCUUGUUGGGUAUGGGAAGGGGGAGAGAGGAGGGGGCGGGGAAAGAAUAUGAAUCAUGUAACCAUGGGAAAAUAUUCUAAAUUAAUUAAUUAAAUAAAUAAACUUGAAAAAAAGAAAUGUAUCGAGGC